rnacentral:rRNA from 1 species
UGGGGAAUAUUGCACAAUGGGCGCAAGCCUGAUGCAGCCAUGCCGCGUGUAUGAAGAAGGCCUUCGGGUUGUAAAGUACUUUCAGCGGGGAGGAAGGGAGUAAAGUUAAUACCUUUACUCAUUGACGUUACCCGCAGAAGAAGCACCGGCUAACUCCGUGCCAGCAGCCGCGGUAAUACGGAGGGUGCAAGCAUUAAUCGGAAUUACUGGGCGUAAAGCGCACGCAGGCGGUUUGUUAAGUCAGAUGUGAAAUCCCCGGGCUCAACCCGGGAACUGCAUCUGAUACUGGCAAGCUUGAGUCUCGUAGAGGGGGGUAGAAUUCCAGGUGUAGCGGUGAAAUGCGUAGAGAUCUGGAGGAAUACCGGUGGCGAAGGCGGCCCCCUGGACGAAGACUGACGCUCAGGUGCGAAAGCGUGGGGAGCAAACAGG